rnacentral:rRNA from 1 species
UACGGAAGGCAGUAGUGGGGAAUAUUGCACAAUGGGCGAAAGCCUGAUGCAGCUAUGCCGCGUGUAUGAAGAAGGCCUUAGGGUUGUAAAGUACUUUCAUCGGGGAGGAAAAAACAAAACUAAUAAUUUUAUUUCUUGACGUUACCCGAAAAAGAAGCACCGGCUAACUCCGUGCCAGCAGCCGCGGUAAUACGGAGGGUGCUAGCGUUAAUCAGAAUUACUGGGCGUAAAGAGCACGUAGGUGGUUUUUUUAAAGUCAGAUGUGAAAUCCCUGGGCUUAACCUAGGAACUGCAUUUUGAAACUGAAAUACUAGAGUAUCGUAGAGGGAGGUAGAAUUCUAGGUGUAGCGGUGAAAUGCGUAGAUAUCUGGAGGAAUACCUGUGGCGAAAGCGGCCUCCUAAACGAAUACUGACACUGAGGGUGCGAAAGCGUGGGGAGCAAACAGGGAUUAGAUACC